rnacentral:rRNA from 1 species
GUCUAUGGCCAUACCACCCUGAAUGUGCCUGAUAUUGUCUGAUCUUGGAAGCUAAUCAGGGUCAGGCCUGGUUAGUACUUGGAUAGGAGACCAAAUACC